AUUAAUAAGCGGAGGAAAAGAAACCAACAGGGAUUCCCGGAGUAAGGGCGACUGAAACGGGAUGAGCCCAUCGCAUAACCUCGCGGUCCGUUGCCGGCCGUCGAGGGGUGUUGCGUUAAGGUGGAUCCGUUCCGUCCGAGCUGCUCACCGCCUAAGUCAUUGCUUGAAAGCAGCUCCAUGGAGGGUGAUAGGCCCGUGUGGCGGCGCCUGUAAAAAGGGUGAAGGCGGCUUCGGACGGGUGGAUCUUCACCGUAGAGUCGGGUUGCUUAGUACUGCAGCCCUAAGCAGGUGGUAAACUCCAUCUAAGGCUAAAUACUACCACGAGUCCGAUAGACGACAAGUACCGUGAGGGAAAGCUGAAAAGGACUUUGAAGAGAGAGUUCAAUAGGACGUGAAACUGCUAGAAGCUUAAACGGGUGGAACCAAGAAGGACGAACGAGGGGAUUCAGUUCGUGGGCCGCCGGGGCGCGGGUGGCGGUACAUAAAGAUUUGGAUGAGUGGACCCGGCGUGAAUUGGAAUUGCCGUGGCCCCGCCCCCGCCUCCGGUGUGUCCGCGGGCUUACUUCUCCCUCUAGUAGUGAGUGCCGCGACUCGUUGCGGGCGACCCCGAGGGCCGCGCCGGAUUGGUAGCCCGGACGUCCGCGUCCGGGUGAUGACCGGACAGCGGUGCCAACGGGUCCCCGCGACGUGAACUGCAAAGGAGGCUCCGCAAGGAGACUCUCGCGGUGAGCGAGGAAUCGGUAAUCCACCCGA
rnacentral:rRNA from 1 species